GUCAGUUGGAACAGGAGGGUCUCAUUACCCUCAUCAGAAGAUUGGUCUUUGUUCAAGAAAGAAAUGCAGGCAAAGCUGUGUGGGGAAAAGCCUUAUAAAAACCUCCUUAGUUCAGUCACUAAAAUAUCCUCUUUGGAGGCAUUUGUGGACCUUUGUGUCAGCUGUGGCCAGAAGAAAUAGCCUCAGGAACUGACUUGUCUGUUAUCUACCUUAAGUAAUCCUGUUAGUGUUACUUCUUCUUAAGGCUCAUUGUUGUGGUUCACCUUUCUUUGGGUGCAGUAUCCCACAGAGCUUCAAGCAAUUGCAGUACUAGAGAAUAACACACACACCAUCAUGUGACAAGUAGUUUUAAAGAUAACACGGCAACUUUUUCACUCCCAGCAUGGAACACUAGUCAAAGGCCUAGGAAUUACUGUUAACGCAGCAGGACAAAAAAGUGAGGGAAUGGAAGGAGUGGAAUCAGUGAGCGAGGACCGGAAGAAAAUCAGCCGGAGGGUGUAGUGCUUGCAUGAGAUGGGAGAAAAAGAGACAACCCAGCAGUUAUUGCAUCUUACAAGUGAGGUUCGUAUGACUUUCUGUUGGGGAACAAGUUAUUACAAAGCCUGUUAGCCAAGGCAGCCACUUUUUUAACUUGCCUGUCUAUAACAGCUACUUCUGCUGCUACCACAGAAAGAGAAAUUAUAGCUUUCAACCCUUCAUUUCAUCCCUCUUACCUAUAAUCCUCUAGUUCCAGUCUGUCUGACCACUUGACAGGGCUUUUUUAAUUAGUGAAGCUUUGGGCUGGGGACGUGGGGAGGGAGUGAAGCUUGAAUAUGUUUUGCAUAUACAGAAACACUAGACAGCCUUGGAAACUCUUGAUGAGAUGAAAAACAUCCUGCUGGGAAUAUAAAACAGCACACAGUGCCUAGAAUAAUGAUUCUCAUAAUUGAGAUUGUCAUGUGCCUUAUUAGGAGGCAUCAUUUACUUGAGAUCCUUUUCUACAAAAUAAAUAAAUUAAAAUUUGCCAUGAUAUUUUAUAGCCUAUUUCAAACUCUUGUCCAUUUAUUUCAGUCUCUGUAUUAUUUUGAUUCCUGCAAAAAGGCUUACAGGAUUGCUUUGAAAUCACUUUCAUCUUGGUCCUUUUUGUCUAUCAUUCAAACACUAUGUUGCACUCUGUGACAUAGAAAUAGUUAUGAUACCAGACUGCAUGAGACAGGUGGAGCUUCUUAAAAGCCAGUCUCUGCCCUUAUGCUCGGGUGCCUGCACUUCCUGAUUAUUUGGCAGAGCUGGCAUAUGUUUAAUAACAUGUUAGUAAAUGUCAGUUAGGAAAGAUACACUUCAGUGCAGAGUGCAGGACUUCUCUGUAUUCCUGGUAUUUUCAUCUAGGUCAAGAAAACAGCUUACUCUAAUAAUUUCUUAAUUUUAUGGCACAACAGACUAAUGUCUGUGCUGUACCUUGGAGACCUGAUAACAUGCUUCAUCAGCCUCUGUGGAAUUCACACAGAAAACAUUGGUCAAAUUGCCUUCAGCUCACUUCAUUUGUUGGUCUGCAAUUCUGCUCCAAUUCCUCUGGAAGACAAAGAAACAAGAUUUUAUGUGAUAGCUCAGGACUUCUUAAAUAUAUCAGCUGAAAAUUGAUCCUGACAUCAGUAUAGCAGGGACCACUAGUGUUAAAUCUCUAACAGAGUUGUUUUUAUUUAUAUAUUAUAAUAAACCACUUGACAUAAGAAUAAUAAUUUAUGUUUGGCUGACAGUUUGCUUUGGGUAAAACUAAGUAGGCAAAGUUUUGAACUGGGAGAAACUUUAAUAAAAUGUAAUUGUUCAGUUUCCAGUAACGUUGCAAACAGCUGGUUACUAUUUUGUAUUUCUACACUUUUUGCUGUUUUUAUUGAAUAGUUCUAUUAUUGAGG